rnacentral:rRNA from 1 species
CGCGUGAGUGAAGAAGGCCUUCGGGUUGUAAAGCUCUUUUGUCAGGGAAGAAACAGCAGCUCUAACACAGUCUGNGAAUGACGGUACCUGAAGAAUAAGCACCGGCUAACUACGUGCCAGCAGCCGCGGUAAUACGUAGGGUGCGAGCGUUAAUCGGAAUUACUGGGCGUAAAGCGUGCGCAGGCGGUUAUACAAGACAGGCGUGAAAUCCCCGGGCUUAACCUGGGAAUGGCGCCUGUGACUGUAUAGCUAGAGUGUGUCAGAGGGGGGUAGAAUUCCACGUGUAGCAGUGAAAUGCGUAGAUAUGUGGAGGAAUACCAAUGGCGAAGGCAGCCCCCUGGGAUAACACUGACGCUCAUGCACGAAAGCCUGGGGAGCAAACAGGAUUAGAUACCCUGGUAGUCCACGCCCUAAACGAUGCUGACUAGUUGUUGGGAAUUUACAUUCUCAGUAACGUAGCUAACGC